rnacentral:rRNA from 1 species
GACGAACGCUGGCGGCGUGCUUAACACAUGCAAGUCGAACGGAAAGGCCCUGCUCUUGCGGGGUGCACGAGUGGCGAACGGGUGAGUAACACGUGUGUAAACUGCCCUUGUCUUUCGGAUAACUCUAGGAAACUGCGGCUAAUACCGGAUAGGAUCUACUGAUGCAUGGUGGGGGUUGGAAAGUUUGGGCGGUUGGGGCUGGUCUCGAGGGUUAUGCGCUUGUUUGUGUGGUAGUGGCUUACCAAGGGUUUGACGGGUAGCCGGCCUGGGAGCGUGAACGGCCACAUUGGGACUGCGGUACGGCCCAGACGCCUACGGGAGGCAGCGGGGGGGAACAUUGCACAAUGGGCGGGAGCGUGAGACAGAAACGCCGGGAGCGGGAUGACGGCCUUCGGGUGGUAAACCGAUGUCGCCUGAGACGAAGCGUGCGUGACGGUAAUGGGUAAAGAAGCACCGGCUAACUACGUG